ensembl:rRNA 5S_rRNA 5S ribosomal RNA
GUCUACGGCCAUACCACCCUGAACGCGCCCGAUCUCGUCUGAUCUCGGAAGCUAAGCAGGGUCGGGCCUGGUUAGUACUUGGAUGGGAGAUUGUCCCAGAAAACGUGGAAGUCACACU